GGCCGGGCAGGAUGUAGAAGAGUUCAAGUGUGUCUCUGUUGAAGUUUAACAGCAAAGUACCUGGGCCCGUGUGAAUGGGUUCAUGCAAGUGCAAGGGUAUCCAUGAUGGAAAUCUUUUUAAAAAGUAGCCUUGAAAAAAAAAAUCAGAGUUUUUACGGUAGAGAUUUGGAAACAGUCCACAUCUCCCAUGGAGGCAACCCUCAUGUUCCCCUUUUGGAGGACAGAAAAGGAGAUAAAUGAACUGAAACCUCCCCCCACCCCGCUGCUGCCCCUGCCAACUGGAAACCAGAACGGAGCCUUAAGGCAGAAAACAAAGUAUAUUCCUGCACGUUCCUGCGGUCGCUUUGACAGGUGUUCACCUUUGUGUGACUGCAUUGGAGUGUGGGUGAGGUUGGCACUGGAGGCCCCAAACUCUGAUUGUCUCUUUUGCUCCCUGGGCAUGAAGUGAGCAGCUUUGCUCUAUCACGUAAUCACGCCAUGGUGUGCUGCUUUCUGCAAUCCCAAAGCAGUAGGACCAAGAGACCGUGGACUGAAACCUACACAACGUCCCUUCCUAAAACAAUCGUUUUGUCACCAUGCCUGAAGAACUCACGGUCAUGGACCAAGUUCCUUCUGACCUUGUGGAUGGGCAGCAGGAGGGCAGCAGAGGAGAGACGCACUCAGAGCCCGAAGGGCUGUCUUGGUACCCUGCGCGUGAAGGUCCAUAAAUGGCCUCCUUGACGUCUCCCACUUGAACAGGUCAUCCAGCGCCUGAAUGUGCCUGAGACAGGGUCUCUGGUACCUAGGCCAGCCUGGGGCUCCUGAGCUGAAGAAGUCUUCCUGCCUUAGCUAAGUGCUGGGACUACAGACACUGGCCAACCCUGGCUGUGAUGAGUUUGAUGAACCAAAUCGGCUAUUUAUCCAACACAAUUACCACAGGGAACAUUUGUAUCACCCAAAAAAAAAAAAACCCCUCUGUCCCCCUCUGUAAUCAACAGCUUUUGAACAAUCCUAGCUCCUGGCAAUCACUAUCAUUCCCCACCCCCACCUCUGUGGUCGGACGUUUCCAGAAAUCUUAUAAAUGGAACCAUAGAGUGUA